rnacentral:rRNA from 1 species
GAUGAACGCUGGCGGCGUGCCUAACACAUGCAAGUCGAGCGAUCUCUUCGGAGAGAGCGGCGGACGGGUGAGUAACGCGUGGGUAACCUGCCCUGUACACACGGAUAACAUACCGAAAGGUAUGCUAAUACGGGAUAAAAUAUGAAAGUCACAUGACUUUUGUAUCAAAGAUUUAUCGGUACAGGAUGGACCCGCGUCUGAUUAGCUAGUUGGUAAGGUAAUGGCUUACCAAGGCGACGAUCAGUAGCCGACCUGAGAGGGUGAUCGGCCACACUGGAACUGAGACACGGUCCGGACUCCUACGGGAGGCAGCAGUGGGGAAUAUUGCACAAUGGGGGAAACCCUGAUGCAGCAACGCCGCGUGAGUGAUGAAGGCCUUCGGGUCGUAAAGCUCUUUGAUCAGGGACGAUAAUGACGGUACCUGAAAAACAAGCCACGGCUAACUACGUGCCAGCAGCCGCCGUAAUAC